rnacentral:tRNA from 1 species
UGGCGUAUAGCUUAAUUGGUAGAGCCCUCCCUUGGUGUUGAUAUGUAAUGAUACCAGUACCAAGGAGGCGGUUGUCGGUUCGAGUCCGACUGCGCCAA